GCCAGGCAUGGUGGCUCAUGCCUGUAAUCCCAGCAUUUUGGGAAGCUGAGGCGGGGGGAUUGCUUGAGCCCAGGAGUUUGAGGCUACAGUGAGCUAUGAUUGUUCCACUGCACUUCAGCCUAGGCAACAGAGCAAGAUCUUGUCUUUU
ensembl:misc_RNA Metazoa_SRP Metazoan signal recognition particle RNA